UAGAUAACCAACGCGCAAAAGUUGUGAAGCACGUUACCAAAUUUAGCACCUACAGAAAGUCACUACGGGAAAGUCUCGUCUCGGGAAGAAGCAAUAUGCAGGUCUCAACAGUGCAUCUAGUUUACAUGAAAAGGGGAAUAAUAUGAUUGCUAAGGAAAAGAGAGGGAAGACACAAAGGGAUAUUCCCUUGAAAUCUAGAGAAUAUCUCUUCACCUACAUAAGGAGGGGGAGAAGCCAUUAGAGAGAGGAAUUCAAAAAAACAUAGAGGGAGAGAUAGAGAAAAUGUGAUGAGAGGGAACCACCCAGGAAGAAGCCCAUAGAGUUCCAUUUAGUCCAGAAGUAUACUCCAAGCCUCAAGCAUCACCUUUCAUGCAACCUUAGUAAUUCCUACAGUCUUCCAUCAAAUAUCUCAACCAUUAAAAGCCUUACUAUCACCCUAGGAAAGUCCAAAUCAUGCAGCUAAGAAUGUCAUGCAACCAAGCGAACCUUCUCUCUCAUGUAAAUUGAUAAUCUUUUAGCUUCCACACCGCGCUUCACUUGAGCAAGUCAUAAUCUUGAUCUUUCAUGCCAUCUUCGAGCCGUUGAUGUUACCAGCAUAUUUCAUAAGACAGGCUAUCUCUUUCGAGAUAUCCCAUGACUUGUUGCGAACCCGCACCAAGGGAGACAAGUGGACGUUCUCAAAGCCCAAGUCUACCUCGACCUAAAAGUCCCCCAACAAAGACGGUUGCCUGCCUGCACUGGGCCUGGGCCAGCUUUGAUAUACAUCAAGCUACAUCAAGCUACACGCGAAAAGAGUGACAAAGCCAAAUUACAAUGGUGAUUAGGGUUUGAUGAUUGAUCGUUGAUGCAGCUGAAGCCUUGGCCCUUCUCAAAGGAUGUGAAUUUGGUAUGGCUUUGGGGCUUCGAAUGGUUAUUGUUGAAUCUGAUUCCUACGAAUCCAUUUCCUCUCUUUCGGAUUCGCUGGAAAAUGGCAGAUGGGAGGCCUACCCUACCUUAGUGAAAGUUAAAAGGCUAGGGAGUCUUUCCAGGACUAUCGCUGGUCUUGGACUCCAAGAGAUCAGCCAACAUGGCGGCAGACUCGUUGGCAUCGUAGAGAAGUUCGAAGAUGUGUGAUGUUACCUGGAUCAACAGACCCCCCAUCUUCAUUAGUUCAUGUGUUUCACAAUGAUGGUUUACCUUGUCCUCCUUAAUGUUGUGAGGGCAGUGGAGGGGGCGACGUGUUAGCUUGGCUAAUGCGUCUUCAUUGUAACUCCCUCCACUGCUUGAUGUAUUUCUUUCACUUUGUUGUU